UACGGAGGAUGCGAGCGUUAUCCGGAUUUAUUGGGUUUAAAGGGUGCGUAGGCGGGUUGUUAAGUCAGUUGUGAAAGUUUGCGGCUCAACCGUAAAAUUGCAGUUGAUACUGGCAUCCUUGAGUACAGUAGAGGUAGGCGGAAUUCGUGGUGUAGCGGUGAAAUGCAUAGAUAUCACGCAGAACUCCGAUUGCGAAGGCAGCAUACCGGCGCUCAACUGACGCUCAUGCACGAAAGUGUGGGUAUCGAACAGG
rnacentral:rRNA from 1 species